rnacentral:rRNA from 1 species
UGUGGAACUUUAAAAUAACAACCACCUUCCCACCAGCCUUUCCCCCAAAAGGGCCCACCUAUGUAAAUCAUCUGGUUGACAUUUUUCGGUUGGGGCGACCUUGGAGAAAAACAAAUCCUCCAAACCCAUAGACCACACCUCUUUACCAAGAACCACCCCUCAAAGUACUAAUAGUAAUUAGACCCAAUACAAUUGACCAAUGGACCAAGCUACCCCA